GCUGGGACUACAGGCGCCCGCCAUGAUGCCCGGCUAAUUUUUUGUAUUUUUAGCAGAGACGGGGUUUCACCCUGUUAGCCAGGAUGGUCUCAUCUCCUGACCUCGUGAUCCGCCCGCCUAGGCCUCCCAAAGUGCUGGGAUUACAGGCGUGAGCCACCGCGCCCGGCCUAAUAAAGGACAAUUUUUAAUAGCCACUGGACUAUUUAAGUGAUCUCUUCUGUCAGUUUCUUUUACCAUCAGAGGACACAGCAGCAAGGUGCCAUCCUAGAAGCAGAGAGCAGACCCUUACCAGACAACCAACCAGCUGGUGCCAUGAUCUUGGACUUCUCGGCCUCCAGAACUCAACAACAAGAAACAAAUUUAUUAGCUAACCUAACCACUAAUGACGCAAGAGACAAUUCUAAGGACUUUCAAAACAGCAAAGUAGGAGCAGCUGCUACCUCUAGGGAUGAGGGAGAAACUCAAAAAUGCAUACAAAAACCAUUGCAUGAAAAGUGACUGGAUUUGUACAUAGCGUCAGGAGAUGUGCGUAGUGUCAAAGUAUCUCAUCACACAUUACUUGAUAAUUACAAAUGAGAAAAAUGAACCUUCACAGUGGCAAGACUUGACUUCUACCUCUUUCAAAAAGAUGCAAUUGUCCAAUUAUUGGUGAAAUUGUCAUUUCAUGCUAUUGGCUAUUUGAAAUUCCUCCUCUAAUUUCAGAAUAAAUCACUGAAAUUGACAUCGGCCAGUCUGAAUUUCAAGAAAUUACCUGCUGAAGACAAGAGGGAUCUCUUCUUCAGAUUUGCAGUCUGGGGAAGACACAGCCUCUACUGUACUUUAGAACCUGAGAUAUGGUGGUGGAGGGAGCCCUGGGUCGAGUGGUAAGAUUCACCCUUAGAGCCCACUUAUGUGUGCAUGAAGAACAAGACUAUUUUAAGCAACUGAACAAGGUCAGAGCUCCGGACUCCAGCCCCAUGCAACUUCAAAAUAUGACAAAUGUCUUGAAGGGGAGAUUGGCAUGCAGAUGAGGAAGGCCCUCUCGCCAACACAUUUGUAUUUCCUCUGUACUGUGAGACUGUGGGAGAUUUACUGCGACAUUUAGAAGCUUUCUUCCAAACUCCUGGGCCUCCGACACUGGUUCUAAACUCAGCAAAUGUUCUUUGGGAAAAACAGACAGUGCAUGUGAGGCCCCUCGAGUUUGGAAUUUAUGUCUCCAGCUUCACAUGGUCUCUCAAGUGCUUAUGCUUUUCUUCUCUCUGCCACCCACAUUCCCACAUCCCGCCCACCCCCCAACUUUCCUCCCUUCACCUUCCCAUGGAGACUUUUUGCCUGGGCUAAAUCUGAUCCUCAGCCCACUCUCAGAAUCGAUAAAUGCCCCUAGGUGAUUGUAAGCUCACCUAAGAUAUACUUUUUCUCCUCUAGAAUUUUAGUUUAUUAGAUUUUUCUAGUUGUCUUUGCAAAAGCGUUAACAGGCUCUGACUUCUGACAUUCAACUAGAUGUGGAAUAUCCAACCCCUAGCAUUUCAUGGAAUGUACUGACCAAGAUAAAAUGUGUUCUUAUUAAACAAUGCCAUUUCUUGACCACUUCUGUUUUUAGGAAUUGUGGUAUCUGAGUCAUGGUGAUUAGAAGUACUAAUGAAAUAAAUGGGAAAAUUAAACUUCUACUAACAUUUCAUAUAGUAGGGAGAUGUCUGUGAAGAAUUAUAACUGGUACAGAUUUUGUGUUUAUAAACAAGGAGACAGAAAAUGCAGAAAAUAAAAAAUAUUUUAUUUAGUUUUAAAGUGGUCAGAGUACUUUGUUUCUAAUCUCAUAACAUUAACUAGCAACAGAUUGAACUUUUAAGCAAAUUCCUCUGACCUAGUAGCUACUAGGAUUACCUACUGCAUGUAGAAACCAUUCUUAACUUGAGGGCCACAUAAAAAGAGGCCAUUGUCAGUAAUUUGCCAACCCUUGAUCCAGACCAUGUAUUGCUCUACCUCUAAACCAUAGUUGCUUCAUUUGCUUAAGUCUUUUCACAUAAUAAAACCCUUAUUAUAAGGAGGUGGUGCUGUUACCAGGACAACCAGGAACUGGGCCUCUACUAUUGUCAGCUGAAUUCUCUGCUCCGUUGUCAAUUCUCAACUCCAUUUCUGGCUUACCUCAAACAGAGUCACAAGAAAGUAAAUAUUUUGCAAUCUUCUUGUCCUUAGCUGUUCGUUCCUCCAGAAUGACAUAGAGAUUUGUAAAUAUUCACUGGAAUUCAAUGGCUUCAUGCAUUCUAUUUCCACAAACAAAUCCUGAUACAUUUCUCUCCUUCAAUAUAAAGUACUCAUUUUCUGAUCCGUAUUAGCCAGCAUCUUGCACUCCAAAUAACCAGUAACAAAAAGAUCCAUGGGUUGAGGUGAGAUUAUUGCUUUAGAUAGAGAAGUAUCUGACCAUUGUUAAUUACUUUGAAAACAGAUAUGUCAAAAAAGAUAAAACAUACAUUUAUUGUCCCUGACAAUUUACAAACCAAAAUAUACCAUAAUGCAACAAACUAUCUGGGUUGUGGCUUAUCUCCUCAGUUGAAACACUAUUGCCAAUGCUAAACAAUGGAACACAGUAUUUGGCUAUUGGCUAAAGAAAAUGAUGUUCAUACAGCUUAGACAGAAAUUAGUCAUUGAGUCACUAGAGACUAUAAGCAGCAUAUGAAUGCCUGAAACUUACAGAAGAAUCAAUACAGGCUAUUAAACUCUCAUUUCUUAGAAUACCGUAUACUUGCGUGUUUAAACUGACAUCUUAAAAAGUUUUGUAAAGAGCAAUUCAAACUCACAGCAUGAUAAAUAAUCUUUAGGUUUAAUGAGACCUCAAGAACUAGACCAGCUUGAAGCAUGCCAUCUUACCUAGUUACUUAAGAAGCUAGUUUUUCCUUUUGUAACAUGAUCUCAGAAAAAAGAAAAUAUAAUCAUUGUUCUAAGGCAAUCCACAAACUCUGUUACUCCCAUUACAUUUUCAAAACUGCAGACACUCAGGGGGUGUCCGAUUCAUGCCUGGGGCCAUGUGAAACACCCACCUCUGUGAGUAGCUUUAUUAACUCUAUAAACACUUCAAGACAUUCCUAGCAGUGUGGGGUAGCACACAUAUCUAUUGUCUAUCUUAGGUUUGGAAUCAUUUUUCCUCUUAAAAAUAACACACUGAACCAAUUAGCUUUUCUAAAUCAAAUUAACCUAAUAGCAUUCAAAAACUGACAAACAUAAUCUGCUUGUUCUAAGACAAAAGUGGAUUAGUGAACAGAAUCAUAUCUCUAGUCAGGUCCAAAUCAAGUUAUAAAUUCUAACCAAACAGUGAUUGCUGGAAUAAGUCAUAUUAUUAGUAUGCAUAGUCAUACUGAUCUCAAAUGUAAGCAACAUAGGCCUUUUCAGCAGGGAGAUAUAAAAGUUUAGAGUUGAAGAAUGUCUUUUCAUGUUGUGGUAGAGAGCUUGUUUCCUUUGACGUACAUGGCUCCCUCAAGCCUUAGGCUAUUUAGUUACAUCCCUUGUAGUCACAGGAAGGAAUAGCACUCCUCAUUUUUCUAUACCAUCUUUUAGGCAUGUUAUUGUUUAAUACUUUUUUUUUUGUUGCCUGCCUGCUGCUUGUUAGUAUAUGCACCAAAGCAAAUGAGGUAAGACUUCAAUGCAUCAAAUGCUUUUCCUUAAAACAACAUUUUUAUUGAAAUAUGAAACAAAUAUUUUUAUUACCUUCUUUAUAGAAGUAUUUUUUAAAGAAUAGUGAUUGAUAAUAUUGACAGAAAGGAGGACCUAUGAAUUAUCUAUAAAUUAUCUUUAUAUUUGAACUAUUCACAAAUGCAGAAAAUUUAAAAAUCAAAUACAUUUUUCACUUGCUAAUAUAUCUUUUCAUGAGACAUUAUCCUAUAAAAUCCACAGAGGGAUGUGUCCAUUUCUAUUCUCUGCCAACCCUUUUGGUACCACCCAUUGGACAUAACAUUUAGAAUUAAAUUAAGGUUAUCACUAUUGUUAAGCAAAUACUAUUAGAGGUUAGACUGGCAGGUCUUCAGAAAUAGCUCACACUGGAGCCAUGCAUCUCAGUACUCACACUCCUGUGUAGCCUCCUUUCCUUGAAUCUGAGAAUCUGAGAUGGUCCUGUAACUUGUUUUUAACCAGAAGAACAUGGUAGAAGUGAUACUGCCUGACUUCUGAGAUAAAAUUGUAAGAUUCCUUGCAGAUUUUCACCUAGGUCCCUUGGAAUGAGUACCCUGGAAAAAGCCAGCAGACACCACGCUGUGAGCAAAUGCCCAACCUAGCCAAGCAGUGGAGCAACAUGGGGAAAACGGAGAUACGUGGACAUUCUCCAGCUAUUUCAGUCAACCCAGCCAAGGAGAAGACAUGUGAGUGUAGAUGCUAUUGUAUAUGUCUAGGCCAGUAAAGCCUUUAGCAAGCUGGAGCCCCAGCAGCUAUUUGAAUUCAAUGAGAGACCCCAAGUGAGAGCCACCAUAUUGACCCAAUCAACACACCGAAGUGUGAGAGAGAAUAAUUAAGUGCUAGCCUAAGCCACUGAAUUUUGAGGGUGGUUUGUUACACAGCAAUCAACCAAAGCAAAGAUAUUGGUUACUUGUUUGGGGGUUUCAUUUUUAAUUAUAACAUUCCAUGGCUUCUAAACAAAUUUUGCACUUAUAAUUUUAUCAAUUUACUGAUAAUCCUGCUGUCCUUGUUUUGUAUCUACAAUGCUUAGAUUAGAAAAUCUAAUGGAGAAGUGUGUGUGUUUGUGUGUGUGUGUGUGUGUGUGUGUGUGUGUAUUUCACUCUUUUAUAUAAUGGAUUUUGAGGAACAACUAGAUUGGCUUUCUAAGAGAGGGGGAAAUGCUUCUGAAUAUUUUAAGUAAAAUUUUGAUCUACAACAACUCUGCUGUAAAUGUUUAAUAUAAUAUUAUUUUGAGACUUUGCAUGAGCUAAAAACAUCUAAAGCUAAUAAAGCCAGGCUUUUAAAGAGAAAAAGAGUAAUUAUAGGUUGCCUGUAAGAAACUCACUUACUUUACUUUUUUAUUUAUCUAUUUUUUAACUUAUCAUUUUAGAUACUCUCUGAAUUUUAAUUGUAGUGUUUAGAUGUUGAUCUGUCUUUACAUGUCAAACAUUUAAAUUAACUCUUUUGCCUGAAAGAAGAAAUACCAAGAUACAUAAAUUGAAUAAAAGGAGUGGUCUUGAGCACCAUAAAAAUACAAUGUUUGGGCCGGGCAUGGUGGCUCAUGCCUGUAAUCCCAGCACUUUGGGAGGCCGCAGCUGGUGGAUCACGAGGCCAGGAGAUUGAGACCAUCAUGACUAACACAAUGAAACCCCAUCUCUACUAAAAAUACAAAAGCAAAUUAGCCAGGCGUGGUGGCAUGCACCUGUAGUCUCAGCUACUCGGGAGGCUGAGGCAGGAGAAUUGCUUGAACCCAGCAGGUGAAGGUUGCAGUGAGCUGAGAUCACACCACUGCACUCCAGCCUGGGUGACAGAGAGAGACUCCGUCUCAAAGAAAAACAAAACGAUGUUUCAAAAUCUACACAGAAAAGAAAAAGAGGGGAGAAGAAAACUAAAAAGAGACUCUAAGAAAAAUAUUGAAGAAGAAGAUGGUUGGUGAAGGGGAUAUUGCUCUAGUACUAGUAUUUCUUUAGGCAGCUGUUUAAUGUUGCCUCUGAAUAAGUACAUAUUUUAAGGCAGUUAACAAUCUGGUUUAUGAAAAAAUGGGAAAUCACUGUGUGUUAGUGAGCCAGACAGAUGUGUAUAGUGUGGAUAGGGUUCUCUCUUUAAAAUGCACAGAACUGGAAUUUAGCGUUAACCUCAUAAGCACUUGAUGUUCAUGUGGGUGCUCACCAGGCAAUAUGCUCCAGCUAUUGAACAGAAUGCAUUCACUUGCUGUAUACUGAGUGGUCCCCUAGUAAGCUGGAAAAAGUUGUACUUAUGUCAUGUUUAAUUUAUAUAGUGUAGACAUCAUGAAUAAUUAAAUUUAAUAACUACUCAAUGUCAGUGUUUAUAUAUGGCUAGUAGCCAAUAUUUUUUGGUUCUUCAAGAAGAAAGGUACAUGUCUUAGGAAAACUUGAUACAGGAAAAUAUCAGUAUUCUCACUUCAGAGUCAUUCCUUUGGGGAAAAAAAAAGGCUACAAAUUUCCUAACUACGUGUUAAGCAUUGGUGCAGGCAUUGAUAAAGUUUGGAUGUUUGUCCCCCACAAAUGUCAUAUUGAAAUGUAAUCCCCAAUGAAGACGGGGCCUGGUAGGAGGUGUUGGCAUCCUGGGGUCAGAUCUCUCAUGAAUGGCUUGGUGUUGUCCUUGGGAUAGUGAGUAAGUUCUUGCGAGAUCUAGUUGUUUAAGAGUCUGGCACCUCCUCCCUCUCUCUCUUGCUCCCUCGCUCUCACCAUGUGACAUGCUUGCUCUCCCUUCACCUUCUGCUAUGAUUGGAAGCUUACUGAGGCCCUCACUAUGAGCAGAUGCUGGAACAAUGCUUAUACAGCCUGCAGAACUGUGAGCCAAUUAAACUUCUUUUCACAUUACCCAGCCUCGGGUAUUUCUUUAUAGCAAUGCAAGAGUUGGCUAACAUGGGCAUAGAGGGCAUAUAGCAGCUACAUUUGCCUGAGGUGUAUAGCAAAGGUGGUGUCAGGAAAGGUUAGCAUUGAGCUUUGUUCUUUAAAGUGAGUAAGUUACCAGGAUGGUAAAGGAGUAUCGAUGCAAAGUAAGGAGUGGAGAAAUACAUUUUAAGUGGAGGGAAUUAUUUAAAACAGGGCCCGAAUGUCUUCCUCGGGUGUUGCCAUAUAUUGUAUCUGAACAUCUUAUAUAGUAUUUAUUAUUUGAUGAUGUAAAAUCAGUUUCUUAUUGUUUCCUUCUUUCUCUAGAUUGCAAGCUUAGGGGGCAGCAAUAAUACGUCACUUAUGUUUGAGUCCUAAUUCCUCAUACAGUCUUUGGCAUAAAUAAUAGGCACUCAGUAAUUACUAUAAAUAAAGAAAGAAAAUAGCUGUAGUAAAAAUGGAUAACAUUUGUUGUAACAGUUUCAUUUAGAUAUUUAUGAGAGUGUUAGAGCUCCCUGUUAUAUUGUAAGAUUUUUUAGGGAAGGGAUCUUGCAUAAGUUUUAUCCUUUAAAUGGUGCCUGACUCAUAGUUAGAACCCUAUGGAAAGCAAAUUAUAGUCCUUUACAUUUCUUUAAUCAGCCAGGGCCUAAUUUAACCCUAUACGUUUAUAUAAAGGGCAGAAAUUAUUACAAUAAAUAAUCUUGAAACAGCAGAAUUCUGCAUUACAAAUAUGAGGCUGCCAUAUUUCUGUGUUUCUGGUUGCCUAGAAACAAAAAUGUGAAGUUGUAUGAAACUAUAAGAGUUUGUACUCAUAAGAUAUUCUAUGCAAAGUUCAGCCUGCCUCUCUGGGUUUGGAAAGCAUCAAUUCUGAGGAGCUUCAGACAAUAUUGCGGUCUUCAUAGCUGAAAGUUUGCAAAGUUGGGCUUGUUUCAUGGUAUUACCGGCAUAUCCAAUUAGCUAAAGAAAAUAAUUCUUCAUUUAGAGUAUCCAGAACAGACCAAUAACAAUAUUGUUCAAUAACAACUGCUCUAAAU
rnacentral:lncRNA from 1 species